UACGAAGGGGGCUAGCGUUGUUCGGAUUUACUGGGCGUAAAGAGCGCGCAGGCGGUCGUGCAAGUCGCGUGUGAAAGCCCCCGGCUCAACUGGGGAGGGUCACGCGAUACUGCUCGACUCGAAGGCAGGAGAGGGAAGUGGAAUUCCCGGUGUAGUGGUGAAAUGCGUAGAUAUCGGGAGGAACACCAGUGGCGAAGGCGACUCCUGGCCUGUUCUUGACGCUGAGGCGCGAAAGCUAGGGUAGCAACGGG
rnacentral:rRNA from 1 species